CAUGAAUCUGAAGUUCCAGGAAUGCCUAAAGUCAAGGAACGAUCCUUUCAAUUAGCCGACUGAGCCCUUCUCCAAGGUAUGACAAAUUUACCUCCAUCUCCUCCCAGGACGACUGCUGAGAAAUGGCAAUUUCCUGCGACUGUGACUGAGUCCACACACAUGUGCUUCUGAGUCCGACUUCUCGACAUGUCCUGGAGUCUGGACCUCUCGUCCUGUUUUCCGUCUGCCUCCUGGCCGCAAAAUUGGUAAUUUUCUAGUACAUUUAUUUCCACAUGUCAGGCCAGUCAAGUUGGUAACUCCAGACCGCAUCUUCAUGUUGAUGGACAUGUGAGUGGGCCUCCAUGAGAUGGGACAGUGGUAGGCUUACGAACCGGAUGCCGGAAUUGUUGCAGGCUUUUAAGAUACUUUCGAGUAGGGCCAGAAACAUUUCAGGGUAUCUCAUAGUCGGAUGUCCAAACAUAACGUACAUGUCGCUGUUCUGUUUUUUAAUUGGACCCAUCUCGGAUCCCGCCAAUAUUUCGAGCAGCGGAACCGCAAACUAGGAGUAACUAACGGCCAGCGGGCGGCGCUGUCAAAGUCAGCUGCUAUAUCCUAUAUCGCAUAUUCCAUAUCCAUAUUCCCCCGACUUCCCCGACCUCGCGGGCAACGUCUAAAACGUUGAAAAAUUCCGAAUUGACUGCCGAGGACCCCUGGAUGUCCGUGGCCGAGUCGACCAUUGAAGGCGUUUGCGGUUGGACUUCUCGUUUCGGGCCGGACGUUUAUUGAACAUUUUUACUUGCGGUCGAGGAGAAAUGGUAUAUGGCUAAAAAGCGGGAAGUCGGGCUGGCCGGAAGGAUGGGAUUCCUUUAUUAAUUUUUGUGUGAGCUCGUCUCGAUUUCACGGACGGCCUUAAAUGCAAAUCGCUGCAAAUGGGAUUUGUUGAAAAGGAGGUUUACGGCCCGGCAGCCAGAAGCCAGCCGAAAUCUGUGAGCUGGCAAAAUUGGCCAAAAAAAAAAAAUGCGUUAAAUGCAAAUUGGAUAAGAUGUCGUGUCAGAGGAGCGAACACUUGCAUGUGGCUGCCAAGGCGGAUAUCCUUCGCAUCUUUCCCAUCACAUGAAACGGGGGCUGAAGCCGAUCCGAGCCGAGCUGGGCCAAGAAAUCCGAGGAGUGGAAACUUUAAAGUGGAUUAUAUCUCGAGGAUGUCCUCCGGAGCGGCCAAGUGCUAUCUCCUGCGCUUUGGAAACAUAAAUCCGUGAGUUUUUGCCAGCGAAAUUUAUGGCGCUCGCGACACUCGCGAAAGUUUUGGCGGCGGCGGCGGCAUUGUUGUAUUUAUGACCGCGACAUGACCUGCUCACAUAAACGGGCCACGGGUCCUGAAUUGCGAAUCCUGAGAUCCGAAAGUGUUGCCCGCCGUACGUGCGAGUCCUGCUCGGAAAUUGGAUUUGCCGGAGGAUGCGGAGCAUCCUUGGCGCGCUAAGCCGCGCCUCUUAAAUCUGCACGCCUGUCAAUUUAUGUUUUUGAUCGAAAUUUAUGUCCUAAUGAGCCGAAUGCAGCGCAGAAAUUACAAGGCUCCCAGGAAAAUUCUCGGAUUGAGGAAACGGCAAGAACAGGAGCCUGGCACUUUGCCCCAAUUCCAAUCAAAGUUAAUUACGUGGAACAUUCACAGUUCGAGCCGACCGGCGAUUUACAUUCGCCAACCCCCAGAGGAAAAAAUCGGAAGCCAAGUCCAUUCAACCGGAUGCAUAACGUCUGGAUUCUGCUUAUGAGUGCGAAUCUAUAGGAAGUGUGUUUGCCGAAUGUCUCCAGGCCGAAACUGAAUGGUCAGUCCUGGACGUGGCCAUAAUUAUUGUUAUGUUAAUGGCGACCAUCGGCAGGGGAAACUAAGAGCAGCUUUCGGGGUUGAUUGGGCCUCCUCUGGGCCAUAAAGCCAUCACCAUGAUUUUGGAUAUCGACAAAUGUUGUUUGUCCAUGGGUUCUGUGUUUGCCAUGCGACUUUGCAUAAAAAUGGACGAGUGGUUGGCGUCUUGUUUCGGGGGAAAUAUUUAUGAAGCCUUCGUCAGAAAUCAAAGUCAACUGUUUAGGGCGUGGAGAAAAUAAAGUAUAUCAUAUAUUUAUUAUUCAAAAAAAAAAAAACGCCGAACAAUGUUGGGUAUAAUAGUACUAUCUUUAUAAUUGUUAAAAAUCUUACAAUUUGACUACUAUUUCAAGCGAGGAAAAUGCUUUUGUUUUUCCUGCUAAGUGCCUAAAAGUGUGCCACACUUUUCUGGCGCCGCCAUUAAGUUCACCGCUACUUAUCCUGCAGGAAAGGGGCGUGGCGUGCGCACUCCUUUUUUAAGAUUCGCCACAGCUUUCCGAAAAGGGGGCGAUCUGCAUCUGAUGCACAAGUCAGCGGUCCUGAUAGGUGUGACACAUGCCGUGAUUGAUGAAAUGUUUGCCCAUAAGCCCAACCGAAAAGAGGAAGAACCCGAGGAGCCUGGACCACCAACUAAUUUCCACAUUUUUCACAUUUACGAAGACAAAUUGAGGUGCGAACUUGGGUUGAGGCAAUAAAAGUGCCGAAUAUC
ensembl:ncRNA lncRNA:CR46115 long non-coding RNA:CR46115